UUUAAGAGCACCCUACUAGUAGGGAAGGAUCCCUUUCUGGAGAUCCCUCCUUUGGAGUGUUGCAGUGAGUGUAGGAUAAGGUUGGAAAACUGUUUCAGCCUUAUCCUCGGAUGCACAACUCAGAUGCACCAUGAACAGUUCUGGAACUGGAUUUCUUGGACAGAUCCCUUGACCUUCUCUUAAUAGUGAAACUACCUGCUUAACUUGGGUACCAUACAUUACAGGGAUAUCUCUCCUGCAUUUCUGUCAGGAUUUCCUUCCAUAGGGUGAACUCCCUAUUAGGUCUUUGGUUAAUUGCAACAUCAGUAGCUUGAUCUCUGGUGUGAGAUCCCAACUGAUGGGCUUUGUUGUUAUCCAGACAUGCAACUGGUGCCAGCCAGAUUCCCAGUAAUGAGAUAACCAACCUAUUAGGCUUUCACCUUCAUGUUGACUAUAAUAUUUCCCCACACCUUGGAUGUUGCUCAGGUUGAAUAAAUCUGAGUGAGUAAUAAACACACCAUCAUAACAGUGGUUGUUGAGGUUAUGUCCACACUACUUUACAAUUCAAUUAGCAAAAAUGUCAUCCAGCCUGAAGCCUAUUUCAAAGAUAAAGCUUACCUAAUCUGGAAGAAAAACUGUCAUGCAAUUCAUGAUGCUUAAGAAAGAAGAACAUGAAACAAGUGAUGUUUUGGGAUCUAUUUCUGCAUGUACUGGAUAAUGAAUCUAUUUUAGUAGAAUUCCAUAGAGUUUCAAUGUAACUUUUUCCUCUAGCUUUUUCCUCUAGCUGUUUGAUUCAUAUCUCACUGCUUUAUAGAUGGGCACUGCUUGGUGAAGUACCAUCCAAAAGCUGCUUGAAUGCAUUGGUAUGGGUUCUGAGAAGAAGCUAAUGUACAACUGGUUUGAUCACAGGGGAAAAUUAUUUCCUCUCCCCCAGCAGCAAGUCUUAUAAAGAUGCUAAUUGUACCAACAAGCAUCAGGAUUUCUGUUAGUUUUUGUUUUGGUACAUUUCCUUGUGUAAUCAUGUUGGUGAAAGAGGCACAUAGGGAUGAGUGAAGUUGCUUGUAUUUUGGGAUAUGAGGGGGGGACAGAUCUGUUUCACUUCAGAACAGAUGAAAACACUAGUUAUGUGGAACAUAACAUAAAAUCAGAAAAAAUAAAGCUUAGAUAAAGGAGAAGGGAAUGGGAGGAAGCCAGGCACAGCAAUGUGCCUCCUUUUCCCCAGUUACCUCUGCGUUGCACAAUAUCUUCACUGUUUAUCCUCCUUCUCUUUUUGAAAGAAUAGAUUGGACACUCUCUGCAUUUUUGUCAUGCUGUAAGUGUAGGGGGACUAAGGAUAUAAUUUUUUUGGUUUGGAAUUUGUGCAAUCUGACAGCAAGAUUAAUAGAGGGGACUUUAAGGAUUCCUGCUGAGCUCUUUAUUAAGCCAAUAAGCACUGAACUAAGAAAAAUUUGUACAAUGGACUGUAAUGUCUUUUGAACAGCUGUUCUGGUCUACCAUGUCAAAAUUUCACUUUUAAAAUAAUUCCUGAAGUUAGUUUCUUUUCACAAGCAAAUUAUUCAACUUGUCACUACAAAGCAAAUAAACAUAAUGUA